ensembl:lncRNA
AUGUGUGGGAAAGAAUUAUUCAAAGAAUUACUACCAACCUGUGGCCCAAGAUCUGAUUGUUGGGCCUUGUUGAAGUGCCUGGGAAAUGGCCAAGUGGAGUUUUUAGAAGAUCAAACCAGGGAGAAGUGCAUUUACUGUUUUGGAACAGAUGAAGCACAGCACAGGAUGAUUGACAUCCUUGUGAUCCACCCUCCAUCCAUACAAGAACUAGCUCUCUUUGAUUUCAGAGACUUGAAGAGAAAAGGAGAACAAGAGCUCUGUGGGCAGAUUGCAGUGCACUUACCAGUAGAACCGAAGGGGUCCUCCAUCGUGGACUUGACCCAGAGGCUCCCACCUGGUAGCACUGAUGGUUCCAUGGAACUGCUGAGUGUUGUUUCAUCCUUGGGGUUUGCAGGAAAGAAUCCAUAUAUUACCACCUGCUCGGGUCCCAUCUCAUUGCUGUGAUGCUGUACCAUGAUUGACAGCAUCGCCUCGAAUAUAGAGAAUAUGAAGGAACCCUCCAGAGAAAAAGCUGCCCUAGAGAAAAGGUUGGCAAAUUGUUUUCUAAAGUAAAUAUAUUAGGCUUUAUGUGCUACAUGAAUCACUGCUGCAUGUUUUUUUUUCUUCUGCUAAGCCGCCUUAGUACUACCAUGAGGAAAAAGGACUGGAAGUAGGAUCAAAACUGAGCAGAAAAAGGAAAAUAGGGACAAUGGAAGGAGGGAAUGCAGAAAAACUAAGGAGGGCAAAUUGGAACAUAUUUUAGAAAGUAUCAAGGCCGUAUGUUUGUUAUUAUGAAACAGAAUGAACUCUAGAGAUAGGUGAAAAAAAUGAUUGGCAUCUACCUUUUGCAAAAAUAAAAGGAAAAUUCAUUUUACUUAAGUAGAGCA